GAAGCAAGCAAAGUAAGCAAAGCUCCUCCUCCUGUCAGUCACUCUCAGUUUCAGUGUUGUAUUAAAUUGCUCCUCCAGCACCUCCUCUCCUCAUCCUCCAAACCCUCUAAUCUGUCAGCAGUAAGCUCACUUUCCAAGUUACAAGGCCAUUCUCAGCACACACUGACACCAUGCUGGGGACCCUCUGCACUCUCAUCACUGCUCUAACAUGUGUGAGUGGUGUGACGCUGGUGACACAGAAGCCUCCUGUUGUGACGCUGAGGAAGGAAGAGACAGCCACCAUGGACUGUAACCUGGGGACUGUUACUAACAGUGCUGCUCGCUGGUAUAAACAGAUUCCUGGAGGAGUUCUUCAGUUUGUCUUAUAUUUUCAUCACAGCUCAAGCUCUCCAACCUAUGGCUCUGGUUUCUCAUCUCCCAAGUUCACAUCUACUCAUCAGUCUCAAUCAGAUUAUCGUUUGAUCAUCAACAAUGUGGAAGAGGGAGACUCAGCAGUCUAUUACUGUAAAACAUGGGACAACUCUGUGAAUGAGUACGCAUCACAGUGAUUUACUCUGUGACAAAAACGUCCUCACAAAUACUUCUGCUUUUUGAGUCUUUCACACAUCAACUAAUGCUCUCCUACUAGCCCACUGGAGAAAAAAAAUUAG